CGCACCUUGCGCUCCUUGGUAUUCCGAGGAGCAUGCCUGUUUGAGUGUCAUGAAAUCUUCAACCUACAAGCUUGUUACCGGGCAUGUAGGCUUGGACUUGGAGGGUUUGUCGGCCUUGCGGUCGGCUCCUCUUAAACGCAUUAGCUUGAUUCCUUGCGGAUCGGCUGUCGGUGUGAUAAUUGUCUACGCCGCGACCGUGAAGCGUGUUGGCGAGCUUCUAACCGUCUCGUAAGGGACAACACUAUGACAUCUGACCUCAAAUCAGGUAGGACUACCCGCUGAACUUAA
rnacentral:misc_RNA from 1 species